CCGGCAUAGUGAGCUAUCUCAUGGGCCCAGGACUGUUCGCCACGUGUCUCACAGACCUCACCUGAGUGUGGCUGUACUUCACUGAGACAUUGCAGGAGCCCACAGUUCUGGAAGAGGACGCCAGUGCCUGUAAGGCCUUGUCUAGCACAGUGCAGUUUCUUUCUGUUUAUUUCACGCGUGACAGAGAACACUCACGACGGGGUCCCAAUGCCAUGAUGCACAGCCAGGCUUUUGCCAGUCUUGAAUAAUAGCUAUCAGGAGCAAUAAUGCACCAGUGACGGGAGAAACUGUCUCUCCAAGCUCCACCAAAGGCCACCAGCUUAUGAGAAGCAUCCAGCCUGCUCUGAGCUACAUGCCUGGAGGCCAGAGCCGCAUGCAGGAAAGUGAGAGGAAGUGGAAACGUGCAAGCAGAGGGCUCAAAGCAACAGGCUCACCACCGGAAAAAAAAAUAAAAAUAAACAUGCUCAGAAAUAGUGUAACUGAUAUGCAAAGAAGAUCAAAAUAAGGGUUUUAAAAUAUCGUGGCUGCUUUAGAGGAGGUGGGGGUGGUAAAUGAAGCAAGGUUGCAAAUAUGUGUGUUACGGGAGAGGGGGCAG